UACGGAGGGGGCUAGCGUUGUUCGGAUUUAUUGGGUUUAAAGGGUGCGUAGGCGGCCCGUUAAGUCAGCGGUGAAAUCCCACGGCUCAACCGUGGAACUGCCGUUGAUACUGGCGGGCUUGAGUUCGGUCGAGGCGGGCGGAACUGGUGGUGUAGCGGUGAAAUGCUUAGAUACCACCAAGAACCCCGAUUGCGAAGGCAGCUCGCUGGGCCGAAACUGACGCUGAGGCACGAAAGCGUGGGGAGCGAACAGG
rnacentral:misc_RNA from 1 species